GACGAACCGAGCGAACGUUGUUCGGAAUCACUGGGCUUAAAGGGCGCGUAGGCGGGUGCUCAAGUCCGUGGUGAAAUCCUCCGGCUCAACCGGAGAACUGCCAUGGAUACUGGGUGUCUCGAGGGUGAUAGGGGUAUGCGGAACUAUCGGUGGAGCGGUGAAAUGCGUUGAUAUCGAUAGGAACUCCGGUGGCGAAGGCGAGGUGCUGGACCCUUUCUGACGCUGAGGCGCGAAAGCCAGGGGAGCGAACGGG
rnacentral:rRNA from 1 species